rnacentral:rRNA from 1 species
UACGGGGGAGCAAGCGUUGUUCGGAUUUACUGGGCGUAAAGGGCGCGUAGGCGGCCACCGCAAGUCGACUGUGAAAUCUCCGGGCUUAACCCGGAAAGGUCAGCCGAUACUGCGGGGCUAGAGUGCAGAAGGGGCAACUGGAAGUUCUCGGGUGUAGGCGGUGAAAUGACGUAGAUAUCGAGAGGAACACCUGCGGCGAAGGCGGGUUGCUGGGCUGACACUGACGCUGAUGCGCGAAAGCUAGGGGAGCGAACGGG